GCCGCGGUAGUCCAGUCGGUAGUAGCGUCGGCAGUACAAAUGCUGAAGGUCGCAGGUUGAAAUCCUGCCUGCGGUG